rnacentral:lncRNA from 1 species
AAACUUAAAAAUAUUGGAGAACACUGCUGCUGGGAAACACAAGAGAAACAGUCAUUAAUGGUGGUACCAUCACCUUAUGUAAGGGGACAGGAGAACGGGAGUCAGUUGUUGACACAGCACAUGAGGAGACUGCUACAAGCAUUUAACAUCUGGAAACUCAGAAUGUUCAAUAUCUCAGAGUGUGAAACUCUCUCUCAUGUGAAAAAAUUACCUCACCCCAAAUGCUUGUGGUUCACCAAUUAAGAAAUUCAACCCUC